rnacentral:lncRNA from 1 species
UACAUCACCAAAAUCUAGAAUAGAGAUAACAAGACCACCAACUAAAUCUAUUGUUCUCAAUAAUAUAUCUUUCCUUCUGGAUUGUUAUAAAAGCAAGGAAACCCCAAGGUCCUAUAUAUCCGGCCCCGGUUUGCUGACUUACUUCAGAUAUCAUCUGAAAAGCAAGAUGGAGCUGGAAAAGAGGACACUUGUCAGCUAGAGUAUAUGAGCAAAGAUGGAAGGAAGUGAUGAACAAGGUGGGUGUUAGGUGCCCAAAUUAACCAUGGAAGAAAUAAAGUGAUCUGCUGGGACGUAUAGACUGCUCGGCUGGAGGAUGUAAAUUCUGUAUAAUUUUAAAAAUAAGAACAAAAGACGGAUCUGUUUUAAGUUCUCAUUAUUAUCAUCAAAUUGUAUAUAAUGGUCAAAAUCAAAUUGUAAAUAAGCACGAUCUCAUUCAUUUUGUGUAAUUGUUUGUCCUGUGCUGUCCUCAUCUAUGUUUGAUCCGUAGUGAUCAUAAUAAAGAUUUUAGUAGUCAAUUGGCGACAACAGAGCGCAGCAGCCCGUGACAACUCAAUUAGUUUGGGAACGGACUGCUAUAAUCAUCGCCACUGUCAGCACUUGUGAGACAACAUUCCACAACCCUACAACUCAUACUAGAUCUGAUUUUAUUCCCUUGUAACUUCACUAUUUCUCUCUCUCUCUUUGUGGAUUACUACUAAACAAUGAAGAGGACACAAACACAAGCUUUACCUCGCAUGUUUAUGGAUCUAUUAUAACCUACCCGUCGUGGUAUGGCAUUUAUUAAAGCAACGUCCACAGCAUCAUCACUAGGCGGCAAAUGACUUCCUGCAGUAGAGUUGAUGCUGCUGUCUCACAGGAUACGAAGAUCAAGUGGCGAUGACUACAAUCCACAGCAUCACUGUGACAUAAAAUAGAUGAAGUUAAGAGCUGUAGAGCCACUUAACAGGAAGAUUUGGCUGCUCUUUCUAGCAACUCGACCAACCAGGUAAAGGCUCUCUUGUUCCCUUCGUCACUUGUUGCUUAGUCCCGAUUUGGAUCUGAUUGAACAGGUUUGAUGGCUUGACAGGUUCCAAUGUGUCCAAGGACUGCAUCAUGUUCCAAUGUCUGCUUUGGUAUGAUUUCUACAGCUGGAUGCCCUUCCUACCACUUUA